UGCGGGACCAGCUCGCAACCUUCUAUGGUGUUCAAUCGCAGAUCCAAGAACUAUCCAGUAAUCUCACUGCAAUCCAUGCUGUAAUUCAAGAUGCUGAAGAGAAGCAGAUACGAGCCACGCCGUUAAGGAUUAGUUGAACAAGCUCUCUGAUGCAGCCCACGUGCUCGACGAUUUGCUGGAUGAGUGUUCAAUAAAAUUUAACGCUCAGCAAAUCCCGCACGGAAAUCGUUUUCUUGUUUCAAUCCAGAGAUGAUUUUGUUUCGUUUUGAUAUUGAUAAGAGGAUGAAAGUUAUUGGAGAUAGGUUCUGCCAGAUUGAUGAAGAAAGAAUAAGGUUUGAGUUGCAGCCAGGGGUUGUAGAGAGGCUUCAAGAAGAUGAGGAAUGGCGCCAGACGAGUUCUCUCAUCACGGAGCAGAGAGUUUAUGGUAGACACCAGGACAUAGAGACUAUUGUGGAGGGUGCAGAGGAAAAGGCUUUUAAGUCCUUGAAGAAGCUGACUUUGUUCCGGUUGCCAAAUUUGGAGAGGAUGCUGAGAGAUGAAAGAGCAGACUAGCAGAGAUGCUCCCACUUCUUUCUGAAUUAAUCAUCUCAUGUGUCCCCAAAUUAAAAUUGCCUCACCUUUCGAUCUGUUUCACAUCUUAAAAUUCAAGGAUUGAAGUCUGUAUUUGAUUAUAAUGGUAAUUAGGGCAUUGCUUCCUUCCCUGAACCGAUUUUAAGACCCUAAGAAUUGAAUAUUUCUAUGAAAAGGUAUUACUAGAUGAACUUGAGUCUCUUUCAGAGAAUGUGUUGCAAGGUCUGAGUUCUCUUCGAAUUUUGAAGAUUAUGUGCGGUGAUAGAUUAAAUUCCUUGACAGAAGGUAUGAGGCACCUAAUGCAUCUUGAGCGCCUUGAGAUUUGGGCUUGUCCAGAGCUGGUAGCUCUGCCAAGUAGCAUGAAUCAGCUAACUUCCCUUCUUGAUGUUACAAUAUUUGGUGAGGUAACCCUAUCAUACCAGAAGGGUUACAAUACAUCCCUUCCCUCCAAAUUUUGACUCUAUAUAAUGUAGAUUCAUUACCAGAGUGGUUGGGACAUAUGACUUCUCUUCAACAGUAACACAUUGGUUUGUGUCCUGAGUUAAGGUCGCUGCCCAGUGGCUUUCAGCACCUGACCAACUUGCAUAAGCUAUACAUUAAUGAGUGCCUGAAGCUUGCAAAGCAAUGCAAGAGAGAAGCUGGGGAAGACUGGCAAAACAUUGCUCACAUCCCACAUUUAUAAUUGGUUGCAAUGCAGGAAGAGACAUUUUGUGAUAAAAUGAGUACUAAAUGGAAUCGGAGGAAGUCAACCAGAGAUCAGAGUUAUUAUCUCACUCCAGAUUACGAAUUUGACAGAAUGGUUGAUCAGCUCUGAGUGAAAAGCAUAUAGAUGGAACCAAUAUUUGCACAUGUCAUUGCCAUGUUCUGCAACAUAAAGGAUUUUACUUGUGGACCAAGUGACCAGCCACUCAAACAAUGCUGAGGUUGCAGCGUAGGCAUGAGUGCAUACAAAUCACACUUGAAGAAGAAAGUAGUUUUCCGGUUCUGUCAAGAUUCCCAACUUGCUUGACCUUUCAUAUUCAAGUUCACAUAUUUGAAGAAGUGUUUUUCUGUUAGUUUUGCAUUGAAGUACCACCUUCUCAUAUUCUGCCCCUCAAGUAAAGUGGCUCUGGUGUGUCUUUUGCAUUGACCUUUUGAGACAAUAUGCUAUGUUGGAACUUUAUAUUUUGAAUAUGUGGUCCUAUUUUUUAUUAUUUAUGAUUAUUAGUCUAAGUGGUACUUAGAUUAGCUUGUAAAGGUUGGUGAUGAAAUCUGUA